CAUGCGUUGAUACAUGCGUAUAAUAUGUCUGUAAGUAGUUACGACGAUGGCAGUGGCGUACAGGCAAGAGGAGGCAACGAGCCAUCGGUGUUCCAAAGUCCUGAUAACAAUAUUAUGUUAAAUCAAACACAAAUAUUAAAGUAACGUCGACCAUUAAGAAGAAGCUAUCCUUGCAUGUGUUGUAUCCGUGACUAAGUACUAUAAUGUGUACUAACCAGGUACCAACAUUUUAAUGCAUUAUCCGAUAAAUCAAAACAGAACUAGAAAACUGUUUGAAGUUGAUCAUUACUACUACCAGCAUUAUUACAAAAAGAUAUAUAAUAUUAUAUAGGUAAGUAAUAUACUCUAUAUCAAGGAUGGCCAGCGAGAAGAGACUCGCGAGCCACCAAAUGUAUUAAUAAAUAUGGAAGAGCCAAAAUGAAAAAAAAAAACAAAAAAGGUCAUAUUAUUAUAUUAUAAUACGUAAAUUCAUAUUAAAAAAAUUUGUUUGUAAAAAUGUUACGGUAAAAUGCAAGCCGCAUAAGUCUAUGUGGCGAGCCGCAGUUUAGCCACCCCUGCUCUAUAUACUACCACAAUUAUUAUCAUAUCAAUGUAACACGAAAGCACGUUUUAAAAAAAUAUAUAUUUUUUUAUAUAAUAUGUUAAUAUAGGUAUUUAUAUGCGUGAUACACAUAAUAAUACAUUGGUUAUCCCGUAGAAUUGAUUUAAUAAUGCUUCUAUUAAUAGACAUGGUAAGAAUAAUUAGUUUAUGCACAGUACAAAUGUGCGAUAACAAUAGAGUAUAAUUUAUGUAAUAUCCCCGUAUUUACCUUUUAUUACAUGGUCAUAUGUCUUAAGUAUAAAAGUUAAAAUAUUAUGCAUUUUUAACUACAAAAUAAUUUGUUGAUCUCCAUGAUUAUAAUGAAUUUCAUCUAUUUAAA